GGUGAACGCUGGCGGCGUGCUUAAGACAUGCAAGUCGAACGGCAGUCUUCGGACUGUAGUGGCGCACGGGUGAGUAACGCGUAACUGACCUACCCCAAAGUCGCGGAUAACGAUUCGAAAGAAUCGCUAAUACGUGAUGUGCUGUCAGAGUGUGUUCUGCCAGCAAAGAUUGAUUGCUUUGGGAUGGGGUUACGUUCCAUCAGCUAGUUGGUGGGGUAAAGGCCCACCAAGGCGACGACGGAUAGCCGGCCUGAGAGGGUGGCCGGCCACAGGGGCACUGAGACACGGGUCCCACUCCUACGGGAGGCAGCAGUUAGGAAUCUUCCACAAUGGGCGAAAGCCUGAUGGGGCGACGCCGCGUGAGGGAUGAAGGUCUUCGGAUCGUAAACCUCUGAAUCAGGGACGAAAGACACUUCGGUGGGAUGACGGUACCUGAGUAAUAGCACCGGCUAACUCCGUGCCAGCCGCCGCAGUAAUAC
rnacentral:rRNA from 1 species